CAAGAGAAGCCACCACAAUGAGAAGCCCGUGCACCGCAACAAAGAGUAGCCCCCACUCUCCACAACUAUAGAAAGCCUGCACGUAGCAACGAAGACCCAAUGCAACCAAAAAUAUAUAAAUAAAUUUAUAUAAAAAAUACCGCAUAGGUAGAAUUUUGCACUUUCUUUAACCUACAACAUUUUGAAAAAAUUCUAUGUUUCAUUAGUAUGCAUUGAUUCCAGGUCCUAAUUCUUGGGCAAGAUUGAUCAUGUGAGGAAUGUUUUGGGAAGAUGACAUGGAGACAUGGUCUUUUAUCAUACCUGAUGGGUCAGACUCGUGGAAAUCACAGCCAUCCAGGACACGGCUACUGGGAAAGGGAAGUAGACUACUAUCCAGUAUCCACUGGACAUAACUGUCAUAAAGUCUCUCAGGAAGGAUUUUAGGGCAGAGAGGAGGCCCUAAUUCAGGGCCUAUUUUCUCUUGCUUUACACACAGUUCUAAGAAGUUGCAUUUUAUUUUGGCAACCCACAGUAAGUAUGAAAUGGAAAAUUAAAAGGAGCAGGUAGUCCAGAAACAUGAAAAGAGCUGGAUGACAGCUACAUGAUCAAGGAGAAAACAGAAGAACUAGGGAAGGCACAGAAUCUAGGAUAAAUUGAUAUAGAGGCCAAGAAAGUUCGUCUUCCUUUUAGUGAGUACAUUAUGCUUGUCUGUUUACUUGCAUUGUCUAUUUUAACUGUCACACUAACCUUCUGAGGUAGGUACUAUUAUGUUCUGUAUUUCACAGAUAAAAACAUAUUCAGAAAUAUUCCUAAAGUUACCCAACUGGGAAGAAAAUCCCAAGGAACACUGUCUCAUUGCUCUGUGAUCAAGUACAAGGUGUGCAUAGGAAAGGUGAAUGACUGCGGCCAGUCACUGCUCCUGGUUUUUGUGACUCUGACAUUAUAUGAAAGGAGUUUGGGGAAAUGAAAUGGAAUAAAAGGGCCUCAGCUGAAUACAUGGGAUAUCCUGCAGGAGCCAGAGCCCUUCCUCAUGGAGCUGGACACACAUAUCCCCGGCCCAAGAGUCAGAGACAGGGAAGGAAAAUUCAGGGGGAGAAGAGAGCAAUGACAAGACCAGCUGCUGCUUCACAUCAGAGAGGCGACCUGGAGCCACCUUUGAAAUCAAGAACAGAGACUAAACGGCCUGGCGGGCGUCCAGAAGGCCCCUGAAGAUGCGUGCGCAGACGCUUGAAU